rnacentral:rRNA from 1 species
AUUGAACGCUGGCGGCAGGCCUAACACAUGCAAGUCGAGCGCGCGGCGGACGGGUGAGUAAUGUAUGGGGCUCAGCCCGAUAGUGGGGGAUAACUGCUGGACACGGUGGCUAAUACCGCAUACUAUCGGAUGAAUCCAUAUGGGAUUAGCUAGUAGGUGGGGUAAAGGAUCACCUAGUCGACGAUCUCUAGCUGGUCUGAGAGGAUGGUCAGCCACACUGGGACUGAGACACGGCCCGGACUACUACGUGAGGCAGCAGUGGGGAAUAUUGCACAAUGGGCGCGAGCCUGAUGCAGCCAUGCCGCGUGUAUGAAGAGGGCCUUAGGGUUGGAGAGUACUUUCAGCGGGGAGGCGGUACUCGAAGAAGAAGCACCGGCUAACUCCGUGCCAGCAGCCGCGGUAAUUC